CAGUCGAAGAUCCCAGCACGG
rnacentral:snRNA from 1 species